GUGGCUUGGCGCAGCUACACAUGCAAGUCGAACGGUAACAUUUCUAGCUUGCUAGAAGAUGACGAGUGGCGGACGGGUGAGUAAUGCUUGGGAACUUGCCUUUGCGAGGGGGAUAACAGUUGGAAACGACUGCUAAUACCGCAUAAUGUCUUCGGACCAAACGGGGCUUCGGCUCCGGCGCAAAGAGAGGCCCAAGUGAGAUUAGCUAGUUGGUAAGGUAACGGCUUACCAAGGCGACGAUCUCUAGCUGUUCUGAGAGGAAGAUCAGCCACACUGGGACUGAGACACGGCCCAGACUCCUACGGGAGGCAGCAGUGGGGAAUAUUGCACAAUGGGGGGAACCCUGAUGCAGCCAUGCCGCGUGUGUGAAGAAGGCCUUCGGGUUGUAAAGCACUUUCAGUUGUGAGGAAAAGUUAGUAGUUAAUACCUGCUAGCCGUGACGUUAACAACAGAAGAAGCACCGGCUAACUCCGUGCCAGCAGCCGCGGUAAUACGGAGGGUGCGAGCGUUAAUCGGAAUUACUGGGCGUAAAGCGCACGCAGGCGGUUUGUUAAGCUAGAUGUGAAAGCCCCGGGCUCAACCUGGGAUGGUCAUUUAGAACUGGCAGACUAGAGUCUUGGAGAGGGGAGUGGAAUUCCAGGUGUAGCGGUGAAAUGCGUAGAUAUCUGGAGGAACAUCAGUGGCGAAGGCGACUCCCUGGCCAAAGACUGACGCUCAUGUGCGAAAGUGUGGGUAGCGAACAGGAUUAGAUACCAACGUGGUCCUAAAA
rnacentral:rRNA from 1 species